UACAGAGGUCUCAAGCGUUGUUCGGAUUCAUUGGGCGUAAAGGGUGCGUAGGCGGCGCGGUAAGUCGGGUGUGAAAUCUCGGAGCUUAACUCCGAAACUGCAUUCGAUACUGCCGUGCUUGAGGACUGGAGAGGAGACUGGAAUUUACGGUGUAGCGGUGAAAUGCGUAGAUAUCAGGAAGAACACCAAUGGCGAAGGCAGCUCUCUGGGACGGUACUGACGCUGAGACGCGAAGGCGUGGGGAGCGAACAGG
rnacentral:rRNA from 1 species